UCUUCAGUAAUUAGUUUAAAACUUAUCGUAAUUAUCUGUGAUGAAAUUGUAUUAUAUAGAAAUAUAUGAUGUUUUUUUUAUUAGGCGCUAUAUGUAUGCUUGUGUAGUUGUGUCGCUAAUUUUUAUAAAUGAUUUAGCCAUUAUUUUUGUUAGGCGCUAUAUGUAUGUUGUGUAGUUGUGUCGCUAGUUUCAAUAAAUGAUUUAGCCAUUAGUUCUCACACAUACCUCUGCAAAAAGAGUCAUAUGCAUCUUUGCCCCCUCUCAGUUUUCAUCCUGGCUCCGCCCCUGCACGCGAUGGGGAUCCCCCAUCUCCCAGCAAACCUUGCAGCUGCACGCCACCUCCCUCGUCCUAAGGUUGGGCGCGAUGUGAACUGCGAACGGAUCAGUGAUUGGACUAGCAGCAGUUAACUGUACCAACACGGGCUGACAACAACUCGCACGCGUUCGUCUCCGUCGACGGCGGUCAGCACCUCUAACACAUGACAGACCCGCUCCCCUAGCUCCUGUUGCUUCCAUGACAACUGCUCAUGCGCACCUCCAACGCAUGACCAGCUGUCCCCUGGUUCUUCUUUUGUUCAUGGAGUUGGAGCGUGCUGCAACUAACUUUCAUUUCUGAAACUCAAAUCCCUCCAGUUCAGUCCAUGUAUUGUUCUUGUAGGCAGAUUUGAACAAUCUAAAACUGGAAAAAAGAAUGCGUCAGUAUAGCUACUAAACAGAAAAUGGUCUAGUGUAUGUUGCUUUUGUGGUUUUUUGUGUGCUCGUAUUUGCAUAAUUUACCUCAAAUGAAAAUUCAGUUACUUGUGUACCUAUGUGGAUAACGCGGGAACAAAUUUCCUGUCCACCAUCUGUUUUUGCUAAAAUGAGUUUUUUUUGUUUUACUUUAUAUGUGAAGAAAAUUAACGGCAGCAAAUUUCUCUUGAAAAUAAGUUCAAAUAAAAAGAUGGUAGAAGGUCACAUAUGUGUACCAGGAAAAAGUUUGCGCAAAAAUGCAGAAGGCUUUACUAUCCAGGAGUUUGUGUAACUGCUCCGUUUUUUGUGGCUGCUGCAGGCGGCAACACCUGCCGUCGUCAUCCCCACUUAGCCCAUGUCAUGAAGCUUCGCCCCCUGCUACUGCUACACGAAGUGAUUGCUUGCUCGUCUGUAAUUUGGCACGAAGUUGAACAGCUUUAGCUAGAGUUCAGAUAACCGAAUGGCAGAGGUUGCUGUAGAACUAGAGUAGCAUACUUCAGAGUUCACAGUGCAGAUAACUAAAUGUUCAUACAGUCAAACCUGUUGGCCCCGAGAUUAUAUGAAGAUAUUCAGAAUCAGAAGUUCAAAAGGAGA